UCCCUAAUUUUUUCACUCAAUCCCCAUUUCGCAAAAACCCUACGCAACAGAUUUUUCAUCUCCAACAUUCCAUCGUCGUGAACCCUAAAAGCAUGGAUCUGCCUCUCUCGGAAGUAGCCGAUGGAGGAUCCUCGCUCUAGUGUUGCGUCUUUUGCUACCAAACGUGUCCCUUCCGCGUCUAGCAUCGUGAAUCUCAUUCCUACCUCACAGCAAUCCAAUGUGCACGGGAAUGUGGAGGAGGAUGGAAAGCAAGAGCUAACAGAAGGGAAAAGGUGCGUGAGUUUGUUAGGGGUCAUUCUCAGGCAUGGUGAGGGUUUCCGAGGAUAAGGAAUCCAAAUCCACAGAUCCAUUCAAACUUCUAAAGGGUGGGCUUCCCCAAAAAAGUUGAAGAAUAACUCUUUGAUAAAUAUAAGUGGAUAGAUUCAGAUGUUUGAUCUUCAAUUCUGGCCAUUGGCGUACCGCGUACACCUACUAAACUCUUUGAUAUGUUAGUUUUUAAUAAAUUUGGCUUCCAUAUUUUGCCCAUAUUUACUUGAUUUUGUUUGGAAGGUGAAGCCUAUAUUGUCCUUGAGGCUUCUUACUAUCCUUCAUUUUAGUUCUAAAAUUAUUUUUGUUUUAUUCACUUGAAUUUGGUACCCUAUUUAAGAAUCUAAUUAUAGAAAGAGGGAGUAUGAUACAGAGAAUAAAUGUACUAUUUUUCUAAAUUCUAGUACGGGCUCCUUUCCUUUGAAAUGUUUUCUUAUUUUGUUGUUCAUUUUGUUAAUUGAAAAGAUUGUUCUGAAAUGGAUUUAUUAUAGAAUAGAUGCUCAAAUAAAUUUUUUUACAUAUAUAUGCAUCUAUAUUCAUUUUUUUUUCAGUGUUAUGGACUUAUGGAUGAAUACAUACUAAAUUAUCUAGGGUCCUCUAUCAUCCAAUCUAACCUAAUUUUUUUUUCAUUUGUUGUAAACUGAUUCUCUAGGUCCAUCAAUCACAAUAUACUCAUCAAGUUUGUUUGUUUCAUGGAUUAUAGACUAAGAAUGUUGCUGAAGAUUAUAUAGAUUAGAGUUGAGUCAUUGUAAACCUUUUAUAGUUCUUCUAUUCCUAAUAUUUCAUAGACAUAUCAUGCAAAAUUAGCAUCGAGGGAGAUGUGAAUAGGACUAACAAACUUUUUCUGAUAUUGGCAUCCAUGUUUUUCUCCCUUCUAUUUUUUUUAUAGAACAAGAUAAUUAAAAUAUGAAAUUAAAGAUGUGAUUUUUUACCAUUACAUUGUCAUUACCUUGUAGUUACUUUUACAAAUACUUGAAGAAAGAAAAUAGAGUUGAGUAUGUUUCAUUUAUAAAUCCUGGUCACAUACCUACAUGCGAUGUGGGUGAAAAAGGUAGUAAAUUGUCACAACAUAUUGCUGCUCAGUUGGAUCGAACAAAGAUAGCAUCUUCUUCAUCCCAUAAAACACUGGCUAAGAUUUUAAUUAUUUAUCAAUUCCAACUACAUGCUAGUCAAUAUUAUAUUUUCAUUUGUGCAAGUAUCAUUGGAUUCUGACUAUAAUUAAUGAAGAUAAGAAUAUGAUAUAUUUAUUGGACUCUUUGAGUAACAGGAACCAAGACCAUACUUGGCAAACUAUUAUGACCAAGUAGGUAAUAGAUUAUACUGAUUUUGAAUGCAUUCAAUUCAUUAUAGGUUGAAAAAAUAACUUUCUAUUUUUUACAAUAUAAAGUAGUGGUGUCAAGAUAUACAAUGCAUCAAGGGGUAUUUUCAAAAGGACCUGGUUUUAAACAAUUGAUAAUAUACAUUGUGACUAUGUAUUUAGACAUCAAUUAAUAAUUCUUAUUAUUUGGAUUGUGACUUUUUGCAUGACAUUUUUAAUUUUAUUAGGGUAAUCUUAAACAAAAUGGUAGUGUUGAAUGUGGAUAUUGUGUGAUGCAGUAUAUGAAAGAGAUAAUCUUAGAUGAAGAUCCAUAAUUGGAGAGGAAGGUGAAUUUUUUCUUUAUGAAAUAUUUUCUUUAUAAAAUAUUGAGUCAUUUUUCAUUGACCCUCAAACUUCUGUUAAUACUUCAGUUUGCAGUAUCAAAAAAUAAAUAGUAUUACAAACAAUCUUAGUAUGAUGAAGUCAGAAGUGAAUAGAGUGAAUUCGUCUACUUCUAUGUGGGUGCCUAAGCGUAGGCUAUGAUAUAAAUUUUAGAUUGUAUUUAGAUAUUUAUAGAUACAAAAAUUUUUGGGUUAUGGUUAAACAUGACUUUUAUGAAUACACUUUUGGGUUGUAUUUGAUAUAUAUUAGUGAUAUAUGUGUUCAAUUUUGGUGGUGAAAAAUAUUGUGUUAUAGUAAACUAUUAUGAUAUACACUUUUGUUAAUUAAAAUUUUAUUAUAGUAAUAUAUGAUCAAUUACGUCAACAUUAUAAAUACAAAUGAUGGAGUAAUACAACAUAAAAGACUUUAAUAAAUUUAAAUAGUGGCGUAGUUAAAGAAACUAUUUACUUUGUCACUGAUCAAAUUUGUGAAAUUGUUCGUAUGUAUUACUUUGCUAAAUUAAAUUUUUUUAUUAUAGUAAAAUAUGUUUUAUUACUUCUAUACUCGAUGAAGUAAUAUAAUAAAAAAUACUUUGACCAAGCUAAAUUAUGCAAAAGUAAAAUUAAACAUUUACUACACCAGAAUACAAAAGUUGUGAAGUCGUAUAUAUAUUUUACUUCGUCAAUCAAUGUAACCUAUGAGGUAAUAUAUCAUCAACCACUUCAAUACUUUUAUUGAUCUCGAUGAAGUAAUAGAGUCUUUUUACUUUGAGAAUGGUCUGAUUUUGAACCAGAUUUGGAGCAGUGAUAGACUUCGGUAAUUGUAUAGUGAAGUAAUAAAUUGACCCUUUUACUUCACGUGCGUCUACUUCAGUAAUUUUAUAUCUAUUACUUCGAAUAAUAUCUGAAAUCUAUUACUGAUUUUCAUAUAGUUAUAAUCUAUCAUCACGUUCAUGUAUCUCUAAAGGAAACAAACAAGUAAGUUUUUUAUGUAUCCUGGCUAUGUUCCUUCACAUGAUUUAACUAGGAUGUUAUGUAGAGAGAGCAUAAGAUCACAUGAUUUAACUAGGAUGUUAUGUAGAGAGAGCAUAAGAAACUAUAUUUAAUAAUAAUUUCUAACAAUUUUCACAUUAGGAACUGUAAAAUAAGCAACAACAAAAAUUAAAUAUGAAUAUGUAGAGAAAAACAAACGGUUAAUAUUGGUAGAAUUAUAAAUCAUAUACAGUUAAAAUAUUAGAAAAAAAUAAAAGCUUUUAUGAAAAGAAGAUUACCGUAUGAGUACUGAUUUUUAAAAUUCAACACCAUACUAUGGUGUUAAAUAAUUUUUUUCUUUUAUAAUUUCAAUAUAUCAAUUAUACUGAAAUAUCAAAUAAUUUUAAUAUGACCAUACUAUGGUGUUAGAUAAAUAUUUUUUCCUUUUAUAAUUUUGGUAUAUCAAAUAUAUCGAAAAUAUCAAAAUACCAAAUAAUUUUAGUAUGAACAAUAUGUCAUUUAAUUAUAUUGAAAAUUCAAUAUACCAAAAUUUCGGUAUACUAAAAUUUUAGUUCAGUAUAUAUUUUUUAAAUAUAGAAAUUUUUAAUAUGAUAUAAUAUAAAAUUUUUGAUAUCCUACUAUAUACAACCCCUAGAGAAAACUAAUGUUUGACAAACAAGAAAUCACGGUUUUUCUUUUUGAAUCACAGUUGAGCUUUCUUAGCUUUACUACAUUUUGGAAUAAUAAAUUUCAUCUUUAGUAGAACUCUUGCCAAAAAAGGACAAACUGUUGCUAUUGAAGGUCAACCGUACUAUAAGUUUAUAAAGCCUUUAUCCAUUUUCUUCUAAUGUUUGUCUCAAAUAUCGAUGUCCUUGUUGUAAUGCAUCUAUUCUCAUCUUCUGUGCUAAUGGUUUGGGCUUGUGAUAAGAUAUUUUAUAAACAAUUAUUUAAUUGCUAUGUAUGUAGUUAUUAGUUUCAAACACCAAGAUCCUAAUAGCAACACCAUUACCAACUCAAAUUUACAGAUAAAGAAUGAUAAAUAUUUUUCAGACAUAUCAAACGUUAAAAUUCUAAAUGAACUUAAAUUUUUAUAAAAAUUUAUUGAAAUAUCUCCAAUAGUUAAAAUUUUAAGUGAGAUUUUUUAGUCAACAUAACGUAUAAAAGACAAAGAGUAAAUUUAAAUUUUCACUACUACUUUUAAACUAUAAGUCUCAAACUUCAUUUCUAUAAUGAUUCAAACUUUCUUAUUGAGCUUUUUUUUUAUUUUACAGAACUCUCACACGGACCUUACAUUAGAAUGCCCUAAAACAGUUUUACACAACUCAUGACCAAAGGAACACUUGAUUUCUUCACAACCUUUUUAUAUACCAUUGAUCAGUAUUUCUUUCUUUCUUUUUUAAUCUACGCAAGUUAUUGUCCAUGAAAUUGAUUAAAAAGUUUACAAGAACAAUUGUGCCUGAAAAAAAGUGGUGCAAAGAGAGUACACUUACAUUUUACCCCCUGAGAUAGCUUCGAGAGCACAUCAACAAUUGGCUUCUUUCCUCGGCUUGGGCUUCAUCCUAGCGAAGAUGCUCCAUGCAGCAGCCUUUGGCUUCCCGAGCUUCUCGAUCUCCUUCUUCAUGCCCAGGCAUUCCUUCUCGAGGUCGAUGAUCCGCUGCCUCACGUCGACAUUCCGCUCGCUCUCCCUUCGUUGCGCGUCGACGACCUCCGCUCGGGUUGCGCGGCUGGUGGUCUUUUGCAGCAAAAGGCUGGCCUGGGUUACACGGGCGGCGUUGGGGGGAUUCUCCAGGUUGUCGGAGACGAAGAACCAGCUCGCGACCGAGGUUCGAAGGCGGAGCUGCUCGAAGAAUAGCACUUGAACGAUGACCCGGAGGGGGAGCCUCUCGUUCUGCGCGGCGUGGGUGCAGGCUUCCAGGGAGAGCUUUUGGCAGUUCAUGAGCCGGCAGAGCUGCUCCUUCUCCGCCUCCGUGAGCCAAGGAUGCGACUGAAAUGGGAGCCAAGAUGUGAAUUAGCAAUCAGGGGACUGAUAUUGGUGCGAAGUGAACUUUUUGGCUUUUACCUUGAGGUAUAUGUCGACGGCUCGAUAGAUGCCGUCGUCGAGAGGCCGGCCGUAGUCCGGCACGGCGGCCGUGAGUGCCAUGAACUUGGGAGGCUUCAGAUUCACGUCCGUAGACACCUCCGCCAAGUAACCGUCCACCAGCUUCGCCACCGUCGUAAGCGGCGUUAACGCCGGCGACGACGCCCCCGGCACCAGCUGCGCUUCGUCCACCACCCCCGACAAUGCCACCGCCGGCGACUGGUCGAUCUGCAUGAAGUGGUCCAGAAUCCUCUGCACGCAGUCGAUGUCGUAGAGCGUCUCCACCGAAUACCCCAAAUUGGGGAUCAGGAUGUCCUCCAGAGUCGCCUCGUCCAGCUGCGACCCAAUCCGCCGCUCUAGGUUUUCGCGGCACGAAGCGCUUGCCCGCAGGAUCAUGGCGGUGCGGAGCAUGUUGAGGAGGAAGGUUGAGGUCGUCACGCCCUUGCGCAUCGGGAGGAGAUCCACGAUCUCUUCGAUGAACACCCUCUGGUCGCUCUCCGACGGCGCCGAGACCGGCUCGCCCUGGGCGGAGACGGCGCGGAAGCUCAGGUUGCGGCUGAGCCCCGGGAGGAACCUCUUGGCGUAGAACAUUAGGGCUCCGGCUAUGCUCUCCGGCUUCAUCCCCUUCGCCUCCAUCGCCAAGAUGAGUCUUUUAAAAAGGGGCAAACUCAGAAACAACACGUCUUCGUACCACCAGUCGGAGAUCGACGCCGAGCUGGAUGUCUUCGCCGGGACGAUCCCGUUCCAAGCCGGGACGCCCUCGUCCGGGGUCUUUGCGGCCGCCGGACAUCCGAAGACGGUUGAAUCCGCGCAAGCUUUGGAGGCGAGGGAGUUGAUGCAUCUGGAGACGAUCUGAAGGUCCUCGGCUUGGGGGAGGACGCUCUCGCAGGCCUCGAGCGCCUUGGUGGAGUCCUUCCAGCUGGCGAAGAUCUGGUCGAGAAAUUUCUCGGUCUGGAAGAUGAGGUUUCCGCCGGCGAGGUCCUCGGUCAUGCAGAGGUGCUCGGCGGCGCAGCGGAGGGAGACGACGUUGAGGGCGUUGAGCUCGAUUCGGACGUCGUAGCAGAACUUGGCAACGAGCUCGAAGGCCUUGGCGCCUCCGGGGAUGUCGUGCAGCUGGAGGAUGCAGGAGGAGUCCUUGCCUUCGCCGCCGCCGCCGCCGCCGCCGCGGAACUCGCUGAUUGCUUUCCUGAGGAGGCCGCUCCGGUUGAGUAGUGGAAACUGCACUAAUUUGCUGCAGAUUUAAUUGCUGAAAGAAAAAGGGGGGAACAAUAGAGAUGUGAAAUUAAUAAAACUCACCAUGUUUGGCCUUCAAGCUGGAAAGUCUCAGGUUUGCUGCCUAUCGUCAUGGAAGCCAUAGUCUCUUGAUUAGCUAACGUAGAAGAAGACGACUCUGUUCCUGCUGUAGCUGCUGUCGUCCAUGCUAGAGAAAAGAAAGAAAGACAGAGAAAUAGAUUGCAGAGGAGGAGGAAUCCUAAUUUGCAAGUUUUUGGAUCUGAGUCCGAGUAUUGAGGUG